UACGUAGGGUCCGAGCGUUGUCCGGAAUUAUUGGGCGUAAAGGGCUCGUAGGCGGUUUGUUGCGUCGGGAGUGAAAUCCUCCAGCUUAACUGGAGGCUUGCUUUCGAUACGGGCAGACUUGAGGUAUUCAGGGGAGAAUGGAAUUCCUGGUGUAGCGGUGAAAUGCGCAGAUAUCAGGAGGAACACCGGUGGCGAAGGCGGGUCUCUGGGCCGUUACUGACGCUGAGGAGCGAAAGCGUGGGGAGCGAACAGG
rnacentral:rRNA from 1 species